AUUAAUUGCUUUUUUUAUAUUAAAACUACUAAGUAAAUGCACUUUUUACAAUUAAAUCAAGAGACUUUAAUUGCAUUUAUGUAAAAGUUCAAAGUUUUGGGAUUACAUUACCAUGUUGUGUUGUAUUUAAAUGGUAAAGUUAUUUAAAACGCACUGAUUGUCCCAAAGUGCUUGCCGUACUUUCUCAGCACAUGCGCUGUAAGACCGGGGACAUGUGUCAUUUGAAUCCUGUGACUGUGAGAUGACAGAACCGCAUUUUUUCCCUUUCCUGUGCCAUCCUGCGAUGUUAUGGUUUUGAAUGUGGAGAUGCAAACAGUGUACUGAGACUCAAUCUACAAGGUAAACGCAGAAUUUACCCGCAUCACCACCGUUCCGCUGCUGCCUACCUUCAUGUCUCAACUGGAUCACCA